CAUGUGUAGAUUUUCCUUUCCUUGUCUUUCACAAGUAUCAUGUUUUUCUUCAAUCCUCUGUGUGUGGGGGGGGGGAUGACAGGAUCUUGCUAUGUUGUCCAGGCUAGAGUGCAGUGGCAUGACCAUGGCUCACUGCAGCCUUAACCUCCUGGGCUCAAAGGAUCCUCCCACCUCAGCCUCCCAAAGUGUUGGGAUUACAGGCAUGAGCCACAAUGCCCAGCCUUAAAUUCUUUUCAACUUUAAAAAAUUUUGGUCAUGUGUGAUGACCCAUGCCUGUAAUCUCAACACUUCAAGAGGUUGAGGCAGGAGGUUCGUUUGAACCCAGGAGUUGGGGACAAGCCUGGGUACACCAGGAGACCCCAUCUUAAUUUAAAAAAAAAUUACCCAGAGGUGGUGGCAUGGACUACCUGUGGUCCCAGCUACUUGGGACACUCAGGCAGGAGGAUCACCUGAGUCUGGGGGGAUUGAGGCUACAGUGAGCUAUGGCAAUGCCACUGUACUCCUGCCUGGGAAACAGAGUGAGACCCUGUUUCAAAAAAAUUGUUUUUGUCACUUAAAAAUUCUUUUAUUUUUUAAAAAGACAAAUCCUGCCCUCUGUGUACAUCGCUGUGUUUUCAGCAAUGUCUGUUUUCCUCUGUGUUGUUUGCACAUCAUGUUCACUUCUGCAAAUUUUAUUGUUCUUUUCACUUCUGUCUAGGCCCUGCUGUCUCAUGUUUUGUCAACAGGAAGAAAAACACAUCUUCAUGUUUUGUUUUGUUUUUGAGGUGGAGUCUUGCUCAGUCACCCAGGCUGGAGAGCAGUAGCACAAUCUCAGCUUACUGCAACCUUUGCCCCCCAAGUUCAAGUGAUUCUCCUGCCUCAGCCUCCCGAGUAGCUGGGUCUACAGGAACAAAAUUUCAGUCUAGACUGAAAUUCAUAGCUGGACACAUUCCUCACUUCAAAUGAGAACUCCUGUUUACCUGGCAGUGAAUUGGAAUUUGGAGAAGGAAUAGCAAAGUGGAAGUCCUUCUCCUAUUUCAUGCCUUAACUUGUUUUUAUUGGAAGUUACUUCCUUUUUCGUCUCAGAGGCUGAUUCUCCUCCCAUAACCAGUGAUUUUCCUAUAAGCUCAUUAUCCUGGAUGAUGGUUUGACUAACCAAGGCUACUGGCUGCUGAGGGGUUUCUGAGGAAACUUGGGUAGCCUGAUAGAGGCCAUCUGCCUCUCCACGUGGGUUCUAGUUGUGGAGUACACUGCUAUGUUCAUGGAGGCCAUGCACAUUGGCCAGAGAAGAGCAGCCCCAUUGCAAAAGGAUCUAAAUGAGUAUUUUCCAUGCUCACGGGUCAAAUGAGAGGACGUCCCACAUUUAUUCAGAAGGUAGUUGAAAGUGGUCAGCCCCAGAUCUCCUCCAUAUGACUCUUUGGUUGAUGCUACUUGUACCUCAAUACUUGGAAGGCCCAUUCUGGCCAGGAACAACUUUCACUUUACUCUGAAAACAUGGGCAGGUGGGCACAGAAUAGAGCGACUCUAUCCCUGGGACAGAAACUCCUUCAGGCUUUGUGGCAGACACUGUUAUAUGAGUCUUUAGGUGAGUUAACUCAUUUACUCUUUGGAACAAUCCUCUGAAGUAGGUUUUGUUAUUAUCCUCAGUUUACAGACACAGAAACUGAGACACAGAAAGACCAUUCACAGUAAGUGGUUGAGGCAGGACUGAAACUCAAGAAGCCUUGUGACGGUUGUGAUGAGUUAGUAGUGAUGGUGGCUACGAGGUAGGUGUGUGAAUAGAUGUGUAGUGGCUUCUCCUCCAAUGGAAAACUCCCAAAGCAUUAUGAAACAGCCUGGUAGCUGCAGUUGCCCAGGUGUGCAGGAGCAUCGGUGAGCUCAGCAGACUCUGUUCCAAGUCACAUUAAAGAGGCUGAUUUAUCGCAAACCUAUCUCCUAGAGACAGAAUAUAGUUUCCAAAAAUGGACAAAACAUGACCUCCCAACCCACAUGCUGUUCUUACGAUGUAACUUUGAUAUUAUAUUC
ensembl:lncRNA